AGGGUUUGAUUAUGGCUCAGGAUGAACGCUGGCGGCGUGCUUAACACAUGCAAGUCGAACGAAGCACUUAAGAUUGAUUCUUCGGAUGAUUUCUUUUGUGACUUAGUGGCGGACGGGUGAGUAACGCGUGGGUAACCUGCCUCACACAGGGGGAUAACAGUUAGAAAUGACUGCUAAUACCGCAUAACCCGAUAGGAUCGCAUGAUCCAGACGGAAAAGAUUUAUCGGUGUGAGAUGGACCCGCGUCUGAUUAGCUAGUUGGUGAGGUAACGGCCCACCAAGGCGACGAUCAGUAGCCGGCCUGAGAGGGUGAACGGCCACAUUGGGACUGAGACACGGCCCAA
rnacentral:rRNA from 1 species